GAAGAUACAGAGAAGACUACGGGUACAUUUUGUUCGGCGCCACGCCCCUAUUCGAAGGGAAGAAUGAUCGUGCUGUUAUGGACACAUUGACGACAAAGUUCCAGCGGGUCAUAAACGAGGUUAAACCUGAUUUGGUGCUCUACCAUACGGCCCUGCUACCAAGCUUGGGAGCAAGCUCCUUUUGCCAUCCAACUGGUAACACUGUGUGGGAAGACUCUACUAUGACCCACUAUCAGGCGUCAUUCAUAUGCAAGGCAAGGAAGCAGGGCUUUCAGGGUGGCUAUGUCGUGUUCGCCGUGGAAGAUAUUUACGAAGCGAACAUUUGCCGCGACACUUACGCCGACGGCUACAGGGAUAUUCGCCACAUCAGAGACUACUUGGACGAGA